UCUGCCAAAGCAAAUGCAGGCACCAUCUGAAGAAGUGGCAAACAACAAAUUGUGCCGUCUUUUUGACUGCAGCCAUCUUACUACAUAUGGAGAAACCGUUGAGUCCUUGCAAAUUCAUAACGAAAGGCUCCAGAAUAAUGCAGCCUGCCACGAUGAAGCUACAGGAAGGCCAAGGUUGCGGGCAACAGCACUGGACAGGCAUAGGAGCUUCGCAGCCUCACCCUGUUGGAUGCUCUUUUACUGUUUCCAUUUCUUGGAACUGAGGCAUUGGAACAAGCCCUGCUCACACCUUGCCUUGUGGAGAAAGAAGGACUUACUCUACACAUUGACGGGGAGCCCGUUUUGAGUGUGCCAUCACUUCUUGCAGGAAUGGCGUGCCUGU